GUGCAGGUGGUGAGUUGAGGCUCAGCGUACAGUUUGUUUGGACUAACCAAGAGGACGAGAGAGGCCUGGUGCAGCGAGGUGGAGGAGGAUCUCCAACAUAGAUGCCUGGGAGGAGGAGAGGCCAUGGUGCUUGGUGCACGCUCUGCCAAUGGGAGUUCAUGAGGACGGGCAUCGGGAAUGGCUAAGCAGGGGACAACCAGGAUUACGAUGAGGGUGAGACAUCGAAGCCGGCGUCGGCAACUGUGACUGCGACUGCGACCUAUAGUGUUGGCCUUGUGUUUCUGACCUGUCGCGCUCCGGUUCUGGCAGCUGCCGUUCCAAUCAAUCACCUCCAGGAGACCAGGAGCCUUCAGAUUGCUAAUGAUACUAUGCUUGCAUGAGCCCAUGAAACAAGCAAUAAUCUAUCUUAAAAUUUGCAUCCAGGCAUAUAACGGUUCAACAACUUUCGAGCUUUGACUAUGGUUAUGUAGCACGCUGACAAGACAAGAGAAUAAUGCCUCUUAAGGCAUUUGUCCGAGCUAUGCCGCCUCUCGUCAAACUCGAGCUCGACGGUCCGUCUACAGUCAAGCACAAUCCGCACAUGAUCUCCUCCCAGCUUUCGACAUGUUAUUCUUGCAUGCAAGGCUAAGCUAUCUCCACCAGCUCCUUUUUUUGUCCUAGCUCUUCCCUACCCUGGCAAAACCAAAUGCUACCAUCUCGUUUUUUUGCCAUGCUAAAACUUAUGUGCGUUCAUCGUCAUGGAUAGAUUAGCAACUGCCAAGCAAUCUGUCACAAAAACAUGUCAGGCAGCUAGGCAUGCGAGUGACGUGUGUCGGUAAGAUUGGAUGUUUGUGUGUAAAUGUAAAUCACGAAAAAUGAUUCUUGGUAUCUAGAGAAGAAACACACACACACACACGAGAGAGUAAUUCAUAGUGGAUAACUGGAUAUAAAAUACCUAUUAAUGUUGUACGUGAGUUGACUCGACACGCUGCAAGAUCUUCUGAUUUGUUCUCUGAAGGUGGCCUCAGAGUAUAGCGUUGCAUAUUCUUGAAGCAAUUGUGAUGCUCUGUUUUGUUAGGAUUAAGAUGCUUGAAUAUGUAAGCAGUACACUAUCGAGCAAUAGAGAUCUUUCUCAUGCUGA